AGAGUUUGAUCCUGGCUCAGAUUGAACGCUGGCGGCAGGCCUAACACAUGCAAGUCGAACGGUAACAGGAAGCAGCUUGCUGCUUCGCUGACGAGUGGCGGACGGGUGAGUAAUGUCUGGGAAGCUGCCUGAUGGAGGGGGAUAACUACUGGAAACGGUAGCUAAUACCGCAUAAUGUCGCAAGACCAAAGAGGGGGACCUUCGGGCCUCUUGCCAUCGGAUGUGCCCAGAUGGGAUUAGCUUGUUGGUGGGGUAACGGCUCACCAAGGCGACGAUCCCUAGCUGGUCUGAGAGGAUGACCAGCCACACUGGAACUGAGACACGGUCCAGACUCCUACGGGAGGCAGCAGUGGGGAAUAUUGCACAAUGGGCGCAAGCCUGAUGCAGCCAUGCCGCGUGUAUGAGGAAGGCCUUCGGGUUGUAAAGUACUUUCAGCGGGGAGGAAGGGAGUAAAGUUAAUACCUUUGCUCAUUGACGUUACCCGCAGAAGAAGCACCGGCUAACUCCGUGCCAGCAGCCGCGGUAAUACGGAGGGUGCAAGCGUUAAUCGGAAUUACUGGGCGUAAAGCGCACGCAGGCGGUUUGUUAAGUCAGAUGUGAAAUCCCCGGGCUCAACCUGGGAACUGCAUCUGAUACUGGCAAGCUUGAGUCUCGUAGAGGGGGGUAGAAUUCCAGGUGUAGCGGUGAAAUGCGUAGAGAUCUGGAGGAAUACCGGUGGCGAAGGCGGCCCCCUGGGCGAAGACUGACGCUCAGGUGCGAAAGCGUGGGGAGCAAACAGGAUUAGAUACCCUGGUAGUCCACGCCGUAAACGAUGUCGACUUGGAGGUUGUGCCCUUGAGGCGUGGCUUCCGGAGCUAACGCGUUAAGUCGACCGCCUGGGGAGUACGGCCGCAAGGUUAAAACUCAAAUGAAUUGACGGGGGCCCGCACAAGCGGUGGAGCAUGUGGUUUAAUUCGAUGCAACGCGAAGAACCUUACCUGGUCUUGACAUCCACGGAAGUUUUCAGAGAUGAGAAUGUGCCUUCGGGAACCGUGAGACAGGUGCUGCAUGGCUGUCGUCAGCUCGUGUUGUGAAAUGUUGGGUUAAGUCCCGCAACGAGCGCAACCC
rnacentral:rRNA from 1 species